rnacentral:tRNA from 1 species
GCGCCUGUAGAUCAGUUGGUUAGAUCGCAUGCUUGACAUGCAUGAGGUCACAGGUUCGAGUCCUGUCAGGCGCA